rnacentral:misc_RNA from 1 species
CCCAAAUCAAUCACCGAAGUAUCAGAUCCUACAGCUAGCCGCCGAGCCUGGCAACCUAGCACCCCGAAUAGAAACCCGCCUCCGUCUCUCUCUCUAUCUCUUGCCACUUCUUCCCCCGUCCCCUUCCCUCGCAACUCGCGAUUCCCAAAUCCCGAUGCGCCCUCGCGCCUAGCCCCCUCCGCCGCCGCCGCCAACAUCACCUCCCCUGUCACGGGACGCCCCCCCCCCUCCCCCUCCACCGCGUCCUAUGACGUCGCCGACCUCGCACCACCCGGACUCCUCCACCCCGCACGCCGGGAUCGGCAACGGCAACGGCGGCAACCACCACCUCCACCCGCCGACUCUGACCCCGGCGCCCGCGAGCACCCCGGCCGCUCCCCCCGCGCAUGCGCACGGGGGCCCGCAGGUGCGUCUCAUGUGCAGCUUCGGCGGCCGCAUCCUGCCGCGCCCGGGGGACCGCCAGCUGCGCUACGUCGGCGGGGAGACCCGCAUCGUGUCCUUCCCGCGCGCCGCGGCCUCCUUCGCCGCCCUCGUCGCCGCGCUCGCCAAGGCCGCGCCCGCGCUCUUCGCCCCCGGGGCGCCCAGGCCGUCCCUCAAGUACCAGCUGCCCCAGGACGACCUCGACUCCCUCAUCUCCGUCACCUCCGACGACGACGUCGACCACCUCGUCGACGAGCUCGACCGCAUCCACGACCUCUCCGCCAACGUCGCCCGGCCGCCCCGCCUCCGCGUCUUCCUCUUCGCGCCCGCGCCCGCGCCCGACGCCGCCUUCGGCUCCGUCCUCUCCGGCACCGCCGGCGACGCCGCCCCCAGCGACCAGUGGUUCGUCGACGCGCUCAACGCCCCCGCGCCGCACCCCAUCGAGCGCGUCCGAUCCGAGUCCUCCUCGAUCGUCUCCGACGUCCCCGACUACCUCUUCAGCCUCGACAGCCCGUCCGACGACCCCAGCCCCGGCCCCUCGGCGGCUCGCGCCAAGUCCGACGCCACGGAGACUCCGCACCACCACGGCGACGACGUGCCGCCUUCCGCUCGACAGAUACCGCACGUCGCAGGAGGAGCGUCAUCGUGGCCCGCCCCGCCGCCGCCGUACAUGGCGCAGCCUAUGUACUACUUCCCCGUGCCGCCACCGGUCCACUAUCUCGACCAGUCUGCGCAGAGUGGCUACAUGCCUCGCCCGAUCUACCACAUUGUCGGUGGCGGAGGAAGCGAGGCGCCUGGCGGAGAUCUUCACGCGGCCGGCGGAGUCUACGGCGUCUCGCACCACAUGCAGGGGUUCCCGCCGAUGAUGUACGCGCCGCCGCGCGCGGUCAUCUACAACUACAAGUCGGAGGGGAUGCCAUCGCUGCCUCCGGAAGAUGGAGGGGUUGAUGGUGAUGGAUAGAUAUUAAUGCAGCUUUCGUCUAGUGGAAAUAUAUUCGUGAAAUGUAUAUCAUACUAAAUAGUAUAGUAUUUGGUGUGAUUAAUUAGUAUUCUAGUUAAUGUAAUGUGGGAUUCAUAUAAUCUAGGUGGUUCUGGUCUUAUAGAAACCAUUUUUGGGCAUUUUAUAUUUACAUAAACUGGAUGUUGGGUGAAUGUUCUAAGCAGUAUGUGCUGUGUUGAACCUCAAUCACUUAUGAGUGGUUUACUAAAUUUGAAUUUGCUGUUCUUUGCUUGAGUGCUGUAUUGACUGAACGAAUUCUCUCUAGAUUUGAUAAAAGAGAUCAUGUUUAGCCUGUUUACUUCUUAGUUAGUUUGAUGAGUUCAUUUGUUUUAUGUCUGUAUUGAGUUUGUAUGAUGUGGUCCUUCUCAGAUUCUGCUGCUGUUCAGUCCUCCUGAGGAUCCUGUACUUGGAACAACAUGUAAAGCAUCUACUUCGGUUCUGAUGAACAUAUGCAUGCUAGUACUAGUAGAUAGAUCAUAAAACAUAUACACAUACUCAGAUGUAAGAAAUCAUCAUGUGUACAUCAAAAUAAAUUCAUUUAUAUAAUAAGUGAUCUUUUAGCAAUGUAAUUAUUUAUUUUCGUCAUUAACUAUUACAUGAAACGUCGUCACAUGCAAGUUUAAUGUGUCCCCAUGGAAAACGGGGAUGAGAACGGGGGACCCAUCUCCGUCUCUGGAGAAGAAUUUUUCUCUUUUUACAUUCCCAUGAGGAGGAAAUGUCUCCGUCCCCAUUUUUUAAUAGAAGAAUUCCCUGCGGGGAAUCGAAAAUGGUUUCCCAUGAGGAGGAAUUUUUACAUUCCCAUGAGGAGGAAUUUUUCUCUUUUUACAUUCCCAUGAGGAGGAAAUGUCCCCGUCCCCAUCUACAUCUGUAGAUACAAACAU